rnacentral:lncRNA from 1 species
GAAAGAAUGGGUGACAAAUUCAAAAAACAAUGUGUUAUUGUUUUGAUUUAUUUUGUUUUUAUUUCAAGUUGCCUGUUCCUAGAACUUUCUCAGGCAAACUGGGGAAAAUGGUUGACUCAAGGUUUGAAGUUGUUCGCCUCCGAGCAAGAGAAAUUGUUAGAGGAAGGAGGCACCCCAGUAAGACCAAGAACAGUUAGGACAUAUGUUGAUACAAUACAAAAAUGUAGCCCUUGGCUUUUUAAAGACGAGUUAUUAAGUAUAUCAAUGGGACCAUCAUGGUAUCCUGUAGAAGGAUUUUUCUUCAAGAAAGAGAUGGCUAGUUCUGUUUACUACAAUUGUCUAAGAUCUUGGUUUUUACAGACAUCUGAUUAAUUUACAAAGCUAAAGUGUUAAAAUAUCAACCACUAAAUAUGAAAUCAAGUACUCUUUACUUAUUAAGUUCCAUAAGGUAAUGUAUUUAAACAUUAUGUGUGUUUUCAUAA